AGACUAUUCCAGUCAACUCAGCUUUUGACAUUAGUGGAUUCCAAAAUAUGGUUGGGAGUCAAGAAAGUAUGCAACUUGGUUUGGACGGAUCACAACCCUUUGCCCAAAUGAUAUGAAUGGAGUGAAUUUUAAU